rnacentral:rRNA from 1 species
AUUGAACGCUGGCGGCAGGCCUAACACAUGCAAGUCGAGCGGAUGAAGGGAGCUUGCUCCUGGAUUCAGCGGCGGACGGGUGAGUAAUGCCUAGGAAUCUGCCUGGUAGUGGGGGAUAACGUCCGGAAACGGGCGCUAAUACCGCAUACGUCCUGAGGGAGAAAGUGGGGGAUCUUCGGACCUCACGCUAUCAGAUGAGCCUAGGUCGGAUUAGCUAGUUGGUGGGGUAAAGGCCUACCAAGGCGACGAUCCGUAACUGGUCUGAGAGGAUGAUCAGUCACACUGGAACUGAGACACGGUCCAGACUCCUACGGGAGGCAGCAGUGGGGAAUAUUGGACAAUGGGCGAAAGCCUGAUGCAGCCAUGCCGCGUGAGUGAAGAAGGUCUUCGGAUUGUAAAGCACUGUUAGUUGGGAGGAAGGGCAGUAAGUGAAUACCUGGCUGUUUUGACGUUACCUACAGAGAAAGCACCGGCUAACUACGUG